GCCUCAGUGGUCGAGCUGGCUAAGACGCCCGUCACGGAUUGAGGGAGGUCCCAGGUUCGAAUCCUGGCUGAGGUA